UCAUCGGUGUCCGGGUUCCUGCUGAGCUUCCAGACGUGGACAAAGGAAUCCUCUGCACCCGAGAGCAGCUGCCAGGGGAGCAGGGGGACAGUGGGGACACCUCGGAGGUGGCAGUGCCACUGGCAGGGUGGGAUUUGAGGUUGGGAUGCCAGGUGGGAUGUGGAGUGAGAUGCCAGGCUGGGAUUUCAGGAUGGAAUUCCAAACUGGGAUUUCUGGCUGGAAUGCCAGUUGACAUGUUGGGAUUUCAGGAUAGAAUUCAAGGUGGGAUGCCAAGUUGGGAUGCCAGGUUGGGAUUUCAGGAUGGAAGGCCAGGUUGGAAUGCCAGGCUGAGAUGUCAGGUUGGAAUGCCAGGUGGAUGUUGGGGUGGGAUGCAGGUUGGGAUUUCAGCUUAGAAUGCCAGGUUAAGAUUUUAAGUUGGAAUGCCAGGUUGGGAUUUCAGGAUGGAAUUCAAGGUGGGAUGUCAGGUUUGGAUUUCAGGUUGGAAUACCAGGUGGAUGUUGGUGUGGGAUGCAGGCUGGGAUUUCAGGUUGGGAUUUCAGGCUGGAAUGCCAGGGUGAGAUGUCAGGUUGGAAUUUCAGGUGGAUGUUGGGGUGGGAUGCAGGUUGGGAUUUCAGGCUGGAAUUCAAGGUGGGAUGAAAGGUUGGGAUUUCAGGUGGAUGUUGGGGUGGGAUGUCAGGGUGGGAUGCCAGGCUGAAAUUUCAGCUUGGAAUGCCAGGUUAAGAUUUUAAGUUGGAAUGCCAGGUUGAGAUUUCAGCUUGGAAUGCCAGGUUGGGAUUUCAGGAUGGAAUUCAAGGUGGGAUGAAAGGUUGGGAUUUCAGGUUGGAAUGCCAGGUUGGGAUUUCAGGAUGGAAUUCAAGAUAGGAUGUCAGGUUCAGAUUUCAGGUUGGAAUACCAGGUGGAUGUCGGUGUGGGAUGCAGGCUGGGAUUUCAGGUUGGGAUUUCAGGCUGGUAUGCCAGGGUGAGAUGCCAGGUUGGAAUGCCAGGUGGAUGUCGGUGUGGGAUGCAGGCUGGGAUAUCGGGCAGGAUGCCAGCAUGGGAUGCUUUGGGUGCCCCCAGCCGUGCCCGUUCCCCCCGUACCUU
rnacentral:lncRNA from 1 species